AGCUCAAAUUUGAAAUCUGGGGCCCUCGGCCUCCGAGUUGUAAUUUGGAGAGGCAUCUUCGGAGGGGAGCGCCGGCCCAUGUUCCUUGGAACAGGACGUCGCAGAGGGUGAGAAUCCCGUGCCAGGCCGGCAGCCUCCCCUCGCGUGAAGGGCCUUCGACGAGUCGAGUUGUUUGGGAAUGCAGCUCCAAGUGGGUGGUAUAUUUCAUCUAAAGCUAAAUACCGGCGGGAGACCGAUAGCGCACAAGUAGAGUGAUCGAAAGAUGAAAAGCACUUUGAAAAUAGAGUCAAAAAGUACGUGAAAUUGUUGAAAGGGAAGCGCUUGAGACCAGACUCAGACCCGAGCAAACACCGCGCCCCUCGGGGCCGUGCACUUGCCAGGGGCUGGGCCAGCAUCAGUUGGCGUGGCGGGACAAAGGCGCGGGCAAUGUGGCUCCCCUCGGGGAGUGUUAUUAGGCCCACGCUCAAUGCCGCCGACGUCGACUGAGGACCGCGCCUCGG
rnacentral:rRNA from 1 species